AACGCCAAACCCUAAUCAGCAGACAUAACUAGACUUCCUCCCUACUCUCUCUUUAACUUUUUUUCUCUCUUUCUCUCUCUCUCUCUCUCGUGUCACUUCCUCCCUUCUUCCGCGAGGCUCCAGAGUCGCCUCGCCUCGCCUCGCCUCCUCCGGCCUCCUCCUCGAUCGCCAUCGGGUAUCGAGGACGACAGCCAAGAGCAAGAGCAGCCUGCGAUUCCGGGAGUGGUAAUUUCGAGUAGCUAAUACGGUGUUUAGAGUACUCUGUAUAAGCUUUCAGGGAUCAUCGAGGAUUGAGGUUCUCGUAUGGUCAGACGGACAGGACAGUAAGUUUGUAAAAUAUAGAGAAAGGCUAUAAGGACCUUGAGCUAUGCCCGUCUCAGAGAGCAAAGAGACUGGGGUUAGAUCAGCUACCCCACCUUCUAGUGAUUAUGGUGCAGGAGUUCCCAUCAAGAAACGAAGGUUUCCAUUUGUCCGUCCACCAUCACCACCACCUAGGGAGCCAUCACCGCCGCCACCACCUAAGGAGCCAUCACCGCCGCUGCCACCACCACCUAAGGAGCCAUCUCCUCCACUACCUCAGCAACCAUCUCUGCCACCUCAUGAACCACCAUUGCCAGAGAAAAUUGAUGAACAGCUGCAGAUGGGACAUAUUGCUACAUUUCAAGGGCCUGUCCCCUCAAAUUCUAGCGUUGCUGGGGCCCUGGGAAGUGAGAAGCAAGAAUCCGACAUACUUGAAGCUAAUGUGAGCAGUGUUAGUAUAAGGGAGCGGGUUAGUCUUAAGGAGAAGAACGAUUGCAUGGACAAGGGAAACUCUGAGCUUGCUACAGCAGUUGUCCAAGAACCGACAUUGGUUUUUGCUUCAGGUUCCUCAGAUGACAAGGAUAGAAGGGACAAGCCCAUGAUGGAUGAAAACCUUGAGGGACAUGAUCGAAUGCUGGGAAGAUCUGAUUUGCCAAUGGCUUUGAGUGGAAGUCUUAAUUCAAUAGUAGGAGGAUCUUGUACCAAACACAAACUUGAAGUAGAUGACAAAUCCAGUAAGACAGAUGCUUCGUCAAUGAUGGAUGCGGGCCUUGCUUGCCACAAGAGUGAAGGGACUUGCCUGGAUCAAGAGAAAUUUGAAAGCAUCUCUUUAGAUUUGUCUCUGACCGAUGAAAAAAGCAGUCCAUCUACUGGCAGUGGGAAAAGAUCAAAUAGCGAUGCUACUACUCUUUGUGCUAACAGGUCAAAUUGGGAUCUUAACACGACGAUGGAUGCAUGGGAAGAUUCUGCAAGCGAUUCAGUCUGUGUCAGUGCUGAUUCUGUCCAUGGUGAGAUGAAUGCCACCGCUGGCAACUAUGACAUGAAGCCUUCUACUCAGGCGCCUAUAAAAUCAUUAGAACAGAGUACUUUGGGGGGCAAAGGUAAGGGAGGUGCUCUUUCCAUGCCUUUGCCUUCUAGAGCAAUUGGUGAUAAUUAUAUAUCGGAAAAUUCUCUUAAUUUAGGCCUUCAACCAUCAUAUCUUCAAUCAAAUCUCUUUCGACACCCAACUUCAUCUGCUAGCAUUUAUUCAGGGGUGAAAUAUGUCCAGAUGUUGGCGUCAACUUGCAAGCCGAAUGUUGUUGCUCCAUCGAUUGUAAAACCGGAACCCGUUGAUGAGUCUGUUAAACAGUCUUUCAGUGCUUUGAAGACAGCAGACAAUAGAACUGUCAAGUGCGAGUCCAAAGAUGAGCAAUUUCGGGUAGCCCAUGAGAGUCCAAUCUGUACGACCCUACGGACUGUUAAUUCCAAAUCGAUAAAAGCCGAGCCAGGUUGUGAGGGUAUGGAAGCAUCCAGAACCAAUGAGGAUGCAUGUCUUAGGUCUUGCGAACAGAUGUCAAAUGGUUCUGAGUUAUGCUCACUGGUAAAACAAGGCUCACUGGUGAAACAAGGUGGAGACAUGGAUCACUUGUUGGAAACUGAACCUUGUCCUUCUGAAUCAGCUGUAGAUCGUGAUACGGUUGGCACUAGCAAACAUCCUGCAGAAGGGGGUCAUCAUGAGGGGGAAUCAUCUGCAGGAGGUCAUCAUGAGGGGGAAUCAUCUGCUGGAGGUUAUCAUGAGGGGGAAUCAUCUCAGAUUCGGGAAACUUCUGAAAAUGCCAUGAAGAUUGGGUCAGAUACUAUUGCAACAAAUAUUGGUCCUGGUAGUAACGAACUACCUCCUAGCGUGGAGAAUGCACUAGAAGCGGAGAACACUGAGGUUGCACAACACGAAGAACGUGGCCUCGAAGUGACUGACAAGAUCCCUCCAAGUUUGGAGGAAAAUGCUGAGGAUGCUGCAAGUGAUGGAGAAAAGAUUGAAAUAUCUGCCUGCAACAUGGAAGAGGAUUCUGAUUCUGAGUAUUAUUCAGAUGGAAACCAUGGUCCUCCUGUGGCUGUAGAUGCGGAACAUUUCCAUCGAGAAGAUAAUGAGUAUGAGGAUGGCGAGGUUCGGGAACAAGUCUUGCUCGGUACAUCAGAGGGAAACACUGGGAAGACGGAAGUUGAGAAUGUCAGCAAUUGUGAAUCUGAGCUAAAUAGAAUUGAUUUUGGUGAGAGCUCCUGUCAUAAUUGUGCUACUCUUCCCCGAGAGGGGGAUGAUGCUAGAACCCAGGUUGAUGGCCAAAUGAAUGAGAGCCUUAUGACAGUAUUUUCUACAGCUAAUGUGGACAAAAAUCAAAAAAUUGUUGAUGAAGUUUCCCAUUUGCAAGAAUUAUCUCCAAUUGAAACAGUUGCUGUUAAUUCUGAAAUGAUGAAUCCAGUGAAUACACCUGGGAGAAAGGCGCUUGAUGAUUUGGUGAGCCGAAGUCCAUCUAAGGACCUGGGAUCAGAUCCAUCAUAUAGUCAAGCCAUUGAACUUCACCCUGCAGUUGUCGCCACCACUAAUCUUGUUGAUGAAGAGGCUGCAAAAACUGACAGUAUUGUGUCUACUGGAAAUGGUGAUGAGACUGAUACGGGUUUGCCCAUGGCAGAAGCAUCUUUGAACAGUGAAGUUGUAGAUGGAAAAUCUGAGGGCAGUAAGCGGCGGAUUAUAAAUUUGUCUCGGCCUAAUGUUUCAUCUCCUGACAAAGCAAGAUCUAUACCCGAUAAAUCUAUACCGCUACGAGCUGGAAGGAAAAGAUUACCAGAUAUUGCCCUUGAGGGAGAUAAGCCACCCAGAGGGAGGGACGAAUAUCGUGAUGAUGGGUUAAACAAAUUUCCGAGAGAGAGGAAUCAAGAUAUGUUUUCUCGAAACUCUAGAUCAAACUUUGCACGGGAUAGGGCGAGAGUUUCCAAUGACUGUGGCAAUUGGGAUGCUGAGCAGGAAUUGGGUCCAAAAGUUUAUAAUCGUUUUCCAGAGUUUCCUCCUGGCAGAUACAAUAGAUAUCCUUCAGAUUUUAGAAAUUACAAUGGUGCAACAGAGGAUGGUGUUGGUGGUGCAGGGCGGGGAGGAAGAAAGCUUUUGACUGAUGAUGCACAGAAUUUCCGUCAUCUGUCCUCUAGGAGGCGCUCGCCCGGAGGAAGAGAUGGACAUGCAGCUCGAGGCCAACCUAUGAUUGGUGGAAUAUCGAGAAACAUUAGCCCUGCGAGAUGUAUGGAUGUGUCUGAUUCUGAAAUUGUCGGAUUGAGGCAUGGAAACAAGUUCAUGAGAGACUUCGAGGAUGAUAAUAUGGAACCAAUGUUUGCUUGUCAACCUUCGUAUGGAGAAGCUGAAGGUUUUAUUCGGGGGGAUAGGAAUAUCACAUCUUUCAAGGAAAAAGUUUUUCAUCGUGUUCGUUCGAAAUCUCCUUUAAGAUUAAGAAGUAGGUCUCCUGUUGAAUGGCCACCCAGGAGAAGAUCUCCAGAAGGAUUUGGUGGCCAUCAGCCAAUGACUCAUAGGAGAUCUCCGGCAUUGUACAGAAGGAAUAGGAUGAGAUCACCUGAGCGCACUUGCUUCCAUAGUGGCAUGAUGAUUAGAAGGCAGAAUUCUCCUCCUUUUGCGACCCAACCGCUUGAUGAGUUGAGAGAGAUGAAUUCUGGAAGGGACCAUGGUUUUCCUCGGCCUAUCAUGUCCAACAGAAGCCCAUCUGGGAGGAUUCCACUGAGAAAUCGAAGAUAUGAUAUUAUUAAUUCACGAGAAAGAACACAGGGCGAGUACUUUAGGGUGCCUAUGCGCUCUAGCCGUUUCCAUGAACUAGGUGGAGAUGGAGACACUGAUGAGAGGAGAAGGUUGGGUGAAAAGCAUGGACCUGUUCGCCAUCUUAGGUCUCCUUUUGGUGCUAAUGGUGAGAGUUUUAUGUACAAUACAGAUGAAGCGUCUAGGUCAUAUAGGCUUUGUGCAGAAGAUGAUCCAGCAUAUCAUAAAAGAGGCAGCUCAAGGGAAACACAGUUAGACAGAAGGAAUAAAAAUCGGGCUGGAGAUGUGCAUAAAGCAAGAACAGUUGAUGAGCCGGAUGGCAAUUACAGGCAUGGAGGACUGUCGUCUGAUGACUUUGAUGAUCCUUCUCGAAGUAAAAGAAAAAGGUUUUGAUCAGGUCCUAGUAUGGGUUUGCAUGAGGAUGGCAUAUCUUGCUGGGGAUGAUGACUAAUGUACAGAAACAUCUUUUGACAAAUGGUGUCCUAACUAUUGAUGCAUGUGGCUUCAGCAGCGAGUUGAGGGGACGUGAUCUUCCAAGUAAUAACUCCGUUGUCAGAUUCAUCAUGCAAAUUUUUGAGCUGACAUGAAUUUUGUGAAUCGAGUAGGGGACAUUUUGAUGAAUCAGACCUUGUAUAAACUGGGAGGCCCCUUUCAGAUGUUGAUUUGGCUCAAUGAAGAAGAUAGUUAACAUCAAGCAUUCCCUACCUGAUGUGGAAUCAUUAGAUCGUCAGUAACUACCAGCUAGUCAUUGUCGCUACAAGGAUGAAAUCCAAUGAGUUCUUUAGCAGUCCUAGUACAUGUAAGGCUGUUAAAAGAAAUCCAUUUUGAUGAAUUGUCUAUCUCGCGUUAAAGCUUUCUUGGAGACUUCUCUGCAUGGUCAACUUGGAUAAACACAAAGUAUAUGAUUCCUUGCUUGUGAAGAUGCAUGCUUCUUAGUCCAGUUCGUCUAUGCUGGCACCAGGAGCUAAUAUUGUCUAGGGCCUUUAGAUGUUUUGGAUAUUUGGCUUAAGAAUCAAGUUUCUCUUUCUUCUCUUGCUGCAACUCCUGCUUGGGGUUAAAGAAUUACUGCAUUAGUCUCAUUUUAAUAGAGAAGCUGGUGGAGUAGAUACUGUUGAGUGUGCUUGUGGAAGACUUGCUACCUUAAGGUUCUGGAGAGAAAAUACACUAGCAUUUCGGUAUUUUCAGCUCGUUACCAAUGUGAGAGAUGCCAUUGAGUCCAAGGCAGUGGUUCGCUGGGGAUUGCUUGGAGGCAUUUUUUCGCUGCAGAGUCAAUGGCAUGGGUUUGGAUGCUCUUCGUUUGCCACUUGAUUGAAAAAUGGAGAUGGUUGAUUUGUUUAUCAGCAUUCAUCUGUCACGAGGACAUGUUUUUUGUGUUCGUCUGAAGAGAAGUCCUCCACUGACUUCAAAUUUCGAAGUGCUCAAAGUGGUCUCUCUAAGCUGUUCUGACUUAUUUUUAGGAAGCCAACUUCUCUGAUCAUCUGGUCAACCUUUCAGUGGACAUCUUUGUCUUUUUGCAUAGUCGUCGGGAUCGGCCAAGAUCGGGUGCAUCAAUGGAUAAUAGAAUGUGGCUUCGAAGUGUCGAUUGCCCUCUUGUGAAUUUGCUGAACAGGUGAUUGCUGGAGGGAGUCUUUUUUUGACCAUGAGGCUUGUUGACUCGAUCCUCUCCGCUUCAGUUGGCAAAUGAUGGGUCCAUGAGACAGUAUUUGGCUCGUCAUGUGUGUGUGGUUCCCAAACUAUGACUGCAAAUUUGUCUAGGUUUCUGCUCUUAUUUCUAUGGGUACGACAACAUCACAAAGGGCAGUGAUGUUCCAAUUCUGACAAAGGGCGGUGGUGUUCCGAAUCUGGGUGGAUAACGAAGUUUAGUCAUUCUUGCCAAUCCCAUAUGGCUCAGUUCAGUGCACCAUAUGUUAGGAACCUGGAUUGCUUUUUGUUUCAUCCAUGAUUUUCAAGGCCAUAGCUUGUUUCAGCCUCCUGGACUUGAUGAUGGUAGUGAUAGGAAUUGAACUUCAAACAACACUACCUAUUGACAACAGCAAGACCGAGACUGAAUGUGAAGAUGGUUCUGGAGAUCUCUAGAUAUCACCCACUGUGUUGAUUACUUUCUCCCUAGAGAACACUCUACCCUAAGCUACAGCAGCUGCUGUAUGACCUCCGUACUCCUGGUUCUUAUAGAACAUCUGAGCAUGCAAAGACCCAACUGAAUUUCCAUACCCAGAAGGGUGUGACUUAGAAUUUUCUUUUUCCUAACUAUGCUUAAGAAAAGAGAAUAAGUAAAAUCUUCAAUUCUCUGUCAAACAGGGCAGAGACUAAGCGAGUAAAAAGGCUGCGUAAAGUAUGGAUUGACCUCUGAACAUAGAAUGGAAAAUGAACCCGAACCAGUUGUGCAAA